rnacentral:tRNA from 1 species
GCUAUUUUGUCAGAUAAUAUGUGCUAGAUUUAGGAUCUAGUUAAAUAGAAUUUAGUUCUAUAAAUAGUA